CAAGACAACUUUACGGAGUUGACGAUUGACGGAGCGAAGCGACGUCAAAGCGUUCAUUAAAGUCGAGUUGGCUUAGGGAUACGUUCGUUGGGUAGGGGAGCGUUCUGUAAGCCUGUGAAGGUGUGUCGUGAGGCAUGCUGGAGGUAUCAGAAGUGCGAAUGCUGACAUAAGUAACGAUAAAGCGGGUGAAAAGCCCGCUCGCCGGAAGACCAAGGGUUCCUGUCCAACGUUAAUCGGGGCAGGGUGAGUCGACCCCUAAGGCGAGGCCGAAAGGCGUAGUCGAUGGGAAACGGGUUAAUAUUCCCGUACUUGGUGUUACUGCGAAGGGGGGACGGAGAAGGCUAUGUUGGCCGGGCGACGGUUGUCCCGGUUUAAGCGUGUAGGCUGGUUUUCCAGGCAAAUCCGGAAAAUCAAGGCUGAGGCGUGACGACGAGGCACUACGGUGCUGAAGCAACAAAUGCCCUGCUUCCAGGAAAAGCCUCUAAGCAUCAGGUAACACGAAAUCGUACCCCAAACCGACACAGGUGGUCAGGUAGAGAAUACCAAGGCGCUUGAGAGAACUCGGGUGAAGGAACUAGGCAAAAUGGUGCCGUAACUUCGGGAGAAGGCACGCUGACACGUAGGUGAAGUGAUUUACUCAUGGAGCUGAAGUCAGUCGAAGAUACCAGCUGGCUGCAACUGUUUAUUAAAAACACAGCACUGUGCAAACACGAAAGUGGACGUAUACGGUGUGACGCCUGCCCGGUGCCGGAAGGUUAAUUGAUGGGGUCAGCGCAAGCGAAGCUCCUGAUCGAAGCCCCGGUAAACGGCGGCCGUAACUAUAACGGUCCUAAGGUAGCGAAAUUCCUUGUCGGGUAAGUUCCGACCUGCACGAAUGGCGUAAUGAUGGCCAGGCUGUCUCCACCCGAGACUCAGUGAAAUUGAACUCGCUGUGAAGAUGCAGUGUACCCGCGGCAAGACGGAAAGACCCCGUGAACCUUUACUAUAGCUUGACACUGAACAUUGAGCCUUGAUGUGUAGGAUAGGUGGGAGGCUUUGAAGUGUGGACGCCAGUCUGCAUGGAGCCGACCUUGAAAUACCACCCUUUAAUGUUUGAUGUUCUAACGUGGACCCGUAAUCCGGGUUGCGGACAGUGUCUGGUGGGUAGUUUGACUGGGGCGGUCUCCUCCUAAAGAGUAACGGAGGAGCACGAAGGUUGGCUAAUCCUGGUCGGACAUCAGGAGGUUAGUGCAAUGGCAUAAGCCAGCUUGACUGCGAGCGUGACGGCGCGAGCAGGUGCGAAAGCAGGUCAUAGUGAUCCGGUGGUUCUGAAUGGAAGGGCCAUCGCUCAACGGAUAAAAGGUACUCCGGGGAUAACAGGCUGAUACCGCCCAAGAGUUCAUAUCGACGGCGGUGUUUGGCACCUCGAUGUCGGCUCAUCACAUCCUGGGGCUGAAGUAGGUCCCAAGGGUAUGGCUGUUCGCCAUUUAAAGUGGUACGCGAGCUGGGUUUAGAACGUCGUGAGACAGUUCGGUCCCUAUCUGCCGUGGGCGCUGGAGAACUGAGGGGGGCUGCUCCUAGUACGAGAGGACCGGAGUGGACGCAUCACUGGUGUUCGGGUUGUCAUGCCAAUGGCACUGCCCGGUAGCUAAAUGCGGAAGAGAUAAGUGCUGAAAGCAUCUAAGCACGAAACUUGCCCCGA
rnacentral:rRNA from 1 species